GUUGAACGCAUCAAUCGUCGGUCGUCCGAAUCAUGCCGACGCAUUGGAUCGUCGAGGCGCGGGUGAACGAUACCCGCAAGGGGGUUCGAGCGGUGGGCGACCCUAGAGGGGCUGCGUCCGUCGUCUCGAGCUGCUCGCGCCUCGUCGUCCGAAGAACAGAAGGGACCGCGCGACCACGCCGGCCGCACGUCCGAAGUCCGCUGGCGGACGGGGACGGCGACUCGGAGAAACACCGGAUCGGCCGUCGCCCGCCGUGUGGCGGCUCGGUCGGCGUGGUAGCGAAGUGACCCAGCGCACACGAAGCUCUAUCGGCGGGCCGCCGCACACGCGGCGGCCUCCGCAGACUU
rnacentral:misc_RNA from 1 species